GACGAACGCUGGCGGCGUGCUUAAUACAUGCAAGUCGAACGGAAAGGCCCUGCUUUUGUGGGGUGCUCGAGUGGCGAACGGGUGAGUAACAAGUGAGUAACCUGCCCUUGACUCUGGGAUAACUUCAGGAAACUGGGGCUAAUACCGUAUAGGAGCUCCUGCUGCAUGGUGGGGGUUGGAAAGUUUCGGCGGUUGGGGAUGGACUCGCGGCUUUUCAGUUUGUUGGCGGGGUAGUGGCUUCCCAAGGCCUUGACGGGUAGCCGGCCUGAGAGGGUGACCGUCCACGUUGAGACUAGGAUACGACACAGAAUCCUACGGGAGGUAGCCGUGGAGAAAAUUGCACAGUGGGCGGAAGCCUGAUAGAUGAGCGCACCGUGCGGGAUCGCGGCCUGCGGGUUGUGAACCACUUUCGCCUGUGACGAAGGGUGAGUGACGGUAAUGGGUAAAGAGGCACCGGCUAACUAUGUG
rnacentral:rRNA from 1 species